rnacentral:rRNA from 1 species
GAUGAACGCUGGCGGCGUGCCUAAUACAUGCAAGUCGAGCGAACAGACGAGGAGCUUGCUCCUCUGACGUUAGCGGCGGACGGGUGAGUAACACGUGGAUAACCUACCUAUAAGACUGGGAUAACUUCGGGAAACCGGAGCUAAUACCGGAUAAUAUAUUGAACCGCAUGGUUCAAUAGUGAAAGACGGUUUUGCUGUCACUUAUAGAUGGAUCCGCGCCGCAUUAGCUAGUUGGUAAGGUAACGGCUUACCAAGGCGACGAUGCGUAGCCGACCUGAGAGGGUGAUCGGCCACACGGGAACUGAGACACGGUCCAGACUCCUACGGGAGGCAGCAGUAGGGAAUCUUCCGCAAUGGGCGAAAGCCUGACGGAGCAACGCCGCGUGAGUGAUGAAGGUCUUCGGAUCGGAAAACUCUGUUAUUAGGGAAGAACAAAUGUGUAAGUAACUAUGCACGUCUUGACGGUACCUAAUCAGAAAGCCACGGCUAACUACGUG